UACGGGGGGGGCAAGCGUUGUUCGGAAUUACUGGGCGUAAAGCGCGCGUAGGUGGUUCGUUAAGUUGGAUGUGAAAUCCCCGGGCUCAACCUGGGAACUGCAUUCAAAACUGUCGAGCUAGAGUAUGGUAGAGGGUGGUGGAAUUUCCUGUGUAGCGGUGAAAUGCGUAGAUAUAGGAAGGAACACCAGUGGCGAAGGCGACCACCUGGACUGAUACUGACACUGAGGUGCGAAAGCGUGGGGAGCAAACAGG
rnacentral:rRNA from 1 species